UACAGAGGUCCCAAGCGUUGUUCGGAUUCACUGGGCGUAAAGGGUGCGUAGGCGGUCGGGUAAGUCUGAUGUGAAAUCUCACAGCUUAACUGUGAAACUGCAUUGGAUACUAUCCGGCUCGAGGAAUGGAGGGGAGACUGGAAUACUUGGUGUAGCAGUGAAAUGCGUAGAUAUCAAGUGGAACACCAGUGGCGAAGGCGAGUCUCUGGACAUUUCCUGACGCUGAGGCACGAAAGCCAGGGGAGCGAACCGG
rnacentral:rRNA from 1 species